rnacentral:rRNA from 1 species
CACGUAGGGAGCAAGCGUUGUCCGGAUUUAUUGGGCGUAAAGAGCUCGUAGGUGGUUCGGUAAGUCAGGUGUGAAACCUCCAGGCUCAACCUGGAGACGCCACUUGAUACUGCUGUGACUGGAGUCCGGUAGGGGAGCGUGGAAUUCCUGGUGUAGCGGUGAAAUGCGCAGAUAUCAGGAGGAACACCGAUGGCGAAGGCAGGUCUCUGGGCUGACACUGACGCUCAUGCACGAAAGCGUGGGGAGCAAACAGG